rnacentral:rRNA from 1 species
GACGUAGGGUGCAAGCGUUGUCCGGAUUUACUGGGCGUAAAGAGCGCGUAGGCGGUCUGUUAAGUGUAGAGUGAAAUCUCCAGGGCUCAACCCGGAAACUGCUCUGCAUACUGGCAGACUGGAGGGACUGAGAGGUGAAUGGAAUUCCUGGUGUAGCGGUGAAAUGCGUAGAUAUCAGGAGGAACACCCAUGGCGAAGGCAGUUCACUGGCAGUCUCCUGACGCUGAGGCGCGAAAGCGUGGGGAGCGAACGGG